rnacentral:rRNA from 1 species
CCUUGACAUCCAGAGAACUUAGCAGAGAUGCUUUGGUGCCUUCGGGAACUCUGAGACAGGUGCUGCAUGGCUGUCGUCAGCUCGUGUUGUGAAAUGUUGGGUUAAGUCCGCAACGAGCGCAACCCCUAUCCUUUGUUGCCAGCGGUUCGGCCGGGAACUCAAAGGAGACUGCCGGUGAUAAACCGGAGGAAGGUGGGGAUGACGUCAAGUCAUCAUGGCCCUUACGGCCAGGGCUACACACGUGCUACAAUGGCGCAUACAAAGAGAAGCGACCUCGCGAGAGCAAGCGGACCUCAUAAAGUGCGUCGUAGUCCGGAUUGGAGUCUGCAACUCGACUCCAUGAAGUCGGAAUCGCUAGUAAUCGUAGAUCAGAAUGCUACGGUGAAUACGUUCCCGGGCCUUGUACACACCGCCCGUCACACCAUGGGAGUGGGUUGCAAAAGAAGUAGGUAGCUUAACCUUCGGGAGGGCGCUUACCACUUUGUGAUUCAUGACUGGGGUGAAGUCGUAACAAGGUAAGCGUACGUGU